rnacentral:rRNA from 1 species
AUUGAACGCUGGCGGCAGGCUUAACACAUGCAAGUCGAGCGGGGGAAGGUAGCUUGCUACCGGACCUAGCGGCGGACGGGUGAGUAAUGCUUAGGAAUCUGCCUAUUAGUGGGGGACAACAUCUCGAAAGGGAUGCUAAUACCGCAUACGUCCUACGGGAGAAAGCAGGGGAUCUUCGGACCUUGCGCUAAUAGAUGAGCCUAAGUCGGAUUAGCUAGUGGGUGGGGUAAAGGCCUACCAAGGCGACGAUCUGUAGCGGGUCUGAGAGGAUGAUCCGCCACACUGGGACUGAGACACGGCCCAGACUCCGACGGGAGGCAGCAGUGGGGAAUAUUGGACAAUGGGGGGAACCCUGAUCCAGCCAUGCCGCGUGUGUGAAGAAGGCCUUAUGGUUGUAAAGCACUUUAAGCGAGGAGGAGGCUACUUUAGUUAAUACCUAGAGAUAGUGGACGUUACUCGCAGAAUAAGCACCGGCUAACUCUGUGCCAGCAGCCGCCGUAA